UGAACGCUGACAUGCACCAAGUGGUC
rnacentral:piRNA from 1 species